rnacentral:rRNA from 1 species
GAUGAACGCUAGCUACAGGCUUAACACAUGCAAGUCGCGGGGCAGCAUGGGGGUUGCUUGCAAUCCCCGAUGGCGACCGGCGCACGGGUGAGUAACGCGUAUCCAACCUGCCCUUCACCACGGGAUAACCCGGCGAAAGUCGGACUAAUACCGUAUGUUGUCCAUUGACGGCAUCCGAUUUGGACGAAAGGUUUGGCGGUGAAGGAUGGGGAUGCGUCCGAUUAGCUGGACGGCGGGGUGACGGCCCACCGUGGCGACGAUCGGUAGGGGUUCUGAGAGGAAGGUCCCCCACACUGGAACUGAGACACGGUCCAGACUCCUACGGGAGGCAGCAGUGAGGAAUAUUGGUCAAUGGGCGUAAGCCUGAACCAGCCAAGUAGCGUGCAGGAUGACGGCCCUAUGGGUUGUAAACUGCUUUUAUGCGGGGAUAAAGUGGCCCACGUGUGGGUUUUUGCAGGUACUGCAUGAAUAAGGACCGGCUAAUUCCGUG